rnacentral:tRNA from 1 species
UGGCUCAAUGGUUAAGAGCAUCUGGCUGCUCUUCCAGAGGUCCUGAGUUCAAUUCCCAG